rnacentral:rRNA from 1 species
UACGUAGGGUGCGAGCGUUAAUCGGAAUUACUGGGCGUAAAGCGUGCGCAGGCGGUUUUGUAAGCCAGAUGUGAAAUCCCCGGGCUUAACCUGGGAACUGCAUUUGGGACUGCAAGGCUUGAGUGCGGCAGAGGAGACUGGAAUUCCUGGUGUAGCAGUGAAAUGCGUAGAUAUCAGGAGGAACACCGGAGGCGAAGGCGGAUCUCUGGGCCUGUCCUGACGCUCAGGCGCGAAAGCUAGGGGAGCAAACAGG